CGCGUAGGCGGUCUUGUCGGUCAGAUGUGAAAGCCCGGGGCUCAACCCUGGAAGUGCAUUUGAAACAGCAAGACUUGAAUACUGGAGAGGAGAGCGGAAUUCCUGGUGUAGAGGUGAAAUUCGUAGAUAUCAGGAGGAGCACCGAUGGCGAAGGCAGCUCUCUGGACAGAUAUUGACGCUGAGGCGCGAAGGUGUGGGUAGCGAACAGGAUUAGAUACCCUGGUAGUC
rnacentral:rRNA from 1 species